rnacentral:misc_RNA from 1 species
GAGGCCGAAGAAAAACGAGCGGGAAACAAACGGACGUGAAUUCUGACGGAAAGUUUUACUUGGAGUGCUUAACCUGUGCGCAGGUCUUUGAAUCCCUUUUACCUCACCUUUCGAGCGGAGAAAGAUGAUGAUCGAUGUGCGGCACCAUCAUGCUAAAAUGUCUGGCGAACUAGGGAAGGAUUUUGCGAAUUGCCUCCAUAGGCAAGGCGUAUGUGGCUCAAAUUAAAUAGAUCUGCGUACGGCGCGCUCGCUAUCGACUUUCGUGCCGGAGU